rnacentral:rRNA from 1 species
UACGAAGGGGGCUAGCGUUGUUCGGAAUUACUGGGCGUAAAGGGCGCGCAGGCGGCCGCUCAAGUCAGAUGUGAAAGCCCCGGGCUCAACCUGGGAACUGCAUUUGAUACUGAGUGGCUAGAGUUCGGGAGAGGAGAGUGGAAUUCCCAGUGUAGAGGUGAAAUUCGUAGAUAUUCGGAGGAACACCAGUGGCGAAGGCGGCUCACUGGCUCGGUACUGACGCUGAGGUGCGAAAGCGUGGGGAGCAAACAGG